UACGUAGGGGGCGAGCGUUGUCCGGAUUUAUUGGGCGUAAAGCGCGGGCAGGCGGCCCCGUAAGUCGGCCGUGAAAGCGCCGGGCUCAACUCGGCGAGGACGGGCGAGACUGCGAGGCUCGAGCAAGGCAGAGGGCGGUGGAAUUCCGGGUGUAGUGGUGGAAUGCGUAGAGCUCCGGAGGAACACCAGUGGCGAAGGCGGCCGCCUGGGCCUUUGCUGACGCUGAGCCGCGAAAGCGUGGGGAGCGAGCCGG
rnacentral:rRNA from 1 species